rnacentral:rRNA from 1 species
GGGUUGUGAGGUUAAGCGACUAAGCGUACACGGUGGAUGCCCUGGCAGUCAGAGGCGAUGAAGGACGUGCUAAUCUGCGAUAAGCGUCGGUAAGGUGAUAUGAACCGUUAUAACCGGCGAUUUCCGAAUGGGGAAACCCAGUGUGUUUCGACACACUAUCAUUAACUGAAUCCAUAGGUUAAUGAGGCGAACCGGGGGAACUGAAACAUCUAAGUACCCCGAGGAAAAGAAAUCAACCGAGAUUCCCCCAGUAGCGGCGAGCGAACGGGGAGGAGCCCAGAGCCUGAAUCAGUGUGUGUGUUAGUGGAAGCGUCUGGAAAGGCGCGCGAUACAGGGUGACAGCCCCGUACACAAAAAUGCACAUGCUGUGAGCUCGAUGAGUAGGGCGGGACACGUGGUAUCCUGUCUGAAUAUGGGGGGACCAUCCUCCAAGGCUAAAUACUCCUGACUGACCGAUAGUGAACCAGUACCGUGAGGGAAAGGCGAAAAGAACCCCGGCGAGGGGAGUGAAAAAGAACCUGAAACCGUGUACGUACAAGCAGUGGGAGCAUGCUUAGGCGUGUGACUGCGUACCUUUUGUAUAAUGGGUCAGCGACUUAUAUUCUGUAGCAAGGUUAACCGAAUAGGGGAGCCGAAGGGAAACCGAGUCUUAACUGGGCGUUAAGUUGCAGGGUAUAGACCCGAAACCCGGUGAUCUAGCCAUGGGCAGGUUGAAGGUUGGGUAACACUAACUGGAGGACCGAACCGACUAAUGUUGAAAAAUUAGCGGAUGACUUGUGGCUGGGGGUGAAAGGCCAAUCAAACCGGGAGAUAGCUGGUUCUCCCCGAAAGCUAUUUAGGUAGCGCCUCGUGAACUCAUCUCCGGGGGUAGAGCACUGUUUCGGCAAGGGGGUCAUCCCGACUUACCAACCCGAUGCAAACUGCGAAUACCGGAGAAUGUUAUCACGGGAGACACACGGCGGGUGCUAACGUCCGUCGUGAAGAGGGAAACAA